GGAUGUGAGGGCAAUCUGGCUGCAAAAUCUGUCACCAGGGUUGAUAUGGCUGAGCUUGCAAGCUAGGCAGGAGUCCCCUUCCUCCCUCACUACUCCAUGUACAUCCCUCCUGAACCUGCACACUUGGUUGAAGAGGCCAACCUUCCCUGAAUAGAGGACGACCAGUCUUUAGUCAAGGGUAGAAGAACAGCUGUGCUCCCCUGCUAGAACCUCCAAAUAAGCCCUCAAAUGUGCUUUAUUAAAAUACAAAGUCUCCUUUACACCUGUUGUGACCUUUGUGACAUUGUCACUGC
rnacentral:snRNA from 1 species